rnacentral:rRNA from 1 species
AUUGAACGCUGGCGGCAGGCCUAACACAUGCAAGUCGAACGAGUGGCGGACGGGUGAGUAAUGUCUGGGAAACUGCCUGAUGGAGGGGGAUAACUACUGGAAACGGUAGCUAAUACCGCAUACCAUCAGAUGUGCCCAGAUUGGAUUAGCUUGUUGGUGGGGUAACGGCUCACCAAGGCGACGCUCCCUAGCUGGUCGGAGAGGAUGACCAGCCACACUGGAACUGAGACACGGUCCAGACUCCGACGGGAGGCAGCAGUGGGGAAUAUUGCACAAUGGGCUCAAGCCUGAUGCAGCCAUGCCGCUUGUAUGAAGAAGGCCUUCGGGUUGUAAAGUACUUUCAGCGGGGAGGCUUUACCCACCGAAGAGGCACCGGAUAACUCCGUGCGAGCAGCCGCGGUUAUAC